GACCCGCUGCUGCAGUCAUGUGAUACUACACUGUGCUGGCUGAUGCACAUAUGUCUGUCCCUAUGUAGCCGAGGAGAAUAAGGGGUAGUGUUGUGCCCACUGGUGGGGAAUGUACCCAUGCUUCAACAGUUUUACCCAGGAUACACUUCUGCAAAACCACUCCAGUAUUGGACCAGUUACCCCACUCUACCAUGGACGUCUUACUGGUGAUGUGGACCUGAACCACCGCCAUGUUAGAGUCACUCUUUCAGGUCUUGUGGAGUAUCCUUUCCGAUUUGCAGGAACCAGCCUGGAUUUGAAGGCACCGGACAGUUCCCCUGCUGUACCAUGGGCGACCUACUUGUGAUGUGUACCUGAACCUCCGUCAUGUUGCAGACACCCCCCCCCCCUCCCCCUCAGGUCUUGCGGAUUAUCCUUCCCAAGGUGCAGGAACCAGCGUGGAUGAAGGGACCGGACAGUUCCCCUGCUGUACCAUGGGCGACCUACUUAUGAUGUUGACCUGAACCUCUGCCAUGUAGCAGACACCCCCCCUCAGGUCUCGCGGAGUAUCCUUCCCAAGGUACAGGAACCAGCGUGGAUGUCAAGGGACAAGACAGUUCCCCUGCUGUACCAUGGGCGACCUACCACAAUACCACUGCAUCUCUGAAAUGCCAUAUUUUACAUUUUAUCAACUAAUAAUUUAAAGAAAAACCACACAAAACUUCUCAUUUUAAAAAUGUAU